GGUGGUUUAGCUCAGUGGUUAGAGCUUAGGUCUCGCAACCGGAAGGUUCCAGGAUCGAAUCCCUCUAGAGGCAGAA
rnacentral:tRNA from 1 species